UCUGAAAUUGUGGUGUGCGGAAAAGUAAUAUUUUCAGUAUUUUCGUUAUAAGAAAUGAAUAUAUUACUUUUCCGCACACCACAAUUUCAGA
rnacentral:pre_miRNA from 1 species